rnacentral:tRNA from 1 species
AGCAACAUGGCGCAGCGGAAGCGCGCCGGGCUCAUAACCCGGAGGUCCCACGAUCGAAACGUGGUGUUGCUA